rnacentral:rRNA from 1 species
GGUCGCCUACGGGAGGCAGCAGUGGGGGAUAUUGCACAAUGGGGGAAACCCUGAAGCAGCAACGCCGCGUGGAGGAUGAAGGUUUUCGGAUUGUAAACUCCUUUUGUUAGAGAAGAUAAUGACGGUAUCUAACGAAUAAGCACCGGCUAACUCCGUGCCAGCAGCCGCGGUAAUACGGAGGGUGCAAGCGUUACUCGGAAUCACUGGGCGUAAAGAGCGCGUAGGCGGGAUAGCGAGUCAGAUGUGAAAUCCUAUGGCUUAACCAUAGAACUGCAUUUGAAACUGUUAUUCUAGAGUAUGGGAGG